rnacentral:lncRNA from 1 species
UCUUUUUUUUUUCUUUUUUUUUUUCGUUCGGACCCCUUUUUUUCGAUUUGGUUCCCUUCUUUGACCGUACUUUUUUUUUCUUCUUUUCUUUUUCUUUUUCGGUCCCGCACAUAGACCGUACCAUUUUUUUUUUUAAAUAUCAUUCCCACACCAUAUGCAUUCAAUUUGAUUGCUCGAUUGCUCAGUUUAACGACAUGGCGGUCAAUAUAAAAUUGC